rnacentral:lncRNA from 1 species
UUCUUCAAUGCAAGGCUAAUUAGUAAUUGAUUUGUAAAUUCAAGUCAUAAGUCGUGGUAAGGCAUGUUUCCUCUUUUUUGUUUUUUUUUUUUUUUUUUUUUUUUUUUUUUGCGUCUAGUCCAAAACGACGUUGUUUUAAGUAGAUUAAAAAAAAAUUAUAUAUUUAUCAAAUUAGGGUUUAUUGGCCAAUAUUUUAAAUUAAAUUAAAAAAAAAAAUAUAAGCGCGCUGCUUCCGUGCACAGUGUAUCAGUUGCGCCUGAAACAAUGAACAUAGGGUCUUUGAGGCAUUUUCUCGAACAGUUUGUGGGUAUUAGUAGAGGGUCAGUUUUCGGCACUUCCAAAGCUUUUUCCGACGAGAAGAAGUGCAACUGCACCUCCUUACUCUUAUGUGGAUCCAACACACUGAUCCCACAUGAAUGCAAGACUUUCUUAUUGUAUG